UACGUAGGGGGCAAGCGUUGUCCGGAAUCAUUGGGCGUAAAGCGCGUGUAGGCGGCUCGGUAAGUCCGCUCUGAAAGUCCAGGGCUCAACCCUGGGAUGCGGGUGGAUACUGCCGAGCUCGAGUCCGGAAGAGGCGAGUGGAAUUCCUGGUGUAGCGGUGAAAUGCGCAGAUAUCAGGAGGAACACCAAUGGCGAAGGCAGCUCGCUGGGACGUGACUGACGCUGAGGAGCGAAAGCAUGGGGAGCGAACAGG
rnacentral:rRNA from 1 species